GGUGAGAUGGCCGAGUUGGUUAUGGCGCCAGGUUAAGGUCUUCCCCUUAGCAUUGUAUUGCUUAACAACAAUACUUCCUGGUCACGAAAGUGGCGUGGGUUCAAGUCCCACUCUCAUCA
rfam:Pyrenochaeta sp. DS3sAY3a unplaced genomic scaffold IQ07scaffold_2, whole genome shotgun sequence.